rnacentral:rRNA from 1 species
UUGUUGUGGUUAAAAGCUCGUAGUUGGAUCUCAGGGUCGUUCGCGUCGGUCCCUUGCUGCAAUGGCUCGGGCACUGCGCGGUGUCGUCCCCCUUGCCGGACCUCUCAAAAAGGUUGCUCUUAACCGAGUGGCCUGCUCGAGUGGCCGGAGAGUUUACUUUGAAAAAAUUAGAGUGUUCAAAGCAGGUACAGCCCGCCUGUAUAAUGGUGCAUGGAAUAAUGGAAUAGGACCCCGGAUCCUAUUUUGCUGGUUUUUGGAGCUCAGGGGUAAUGAUUAAGAGGAACAGGGCGGGGGCAUCCGUAUUGCGACGUUAGAGGUGAAAUUCUUGGAUCGUCGCAAGACGCACUACAGCGAAAGCAUUUGCCAAGUAUGUUUUCAUUAAUCAAGAACGAAAGUCAGAGGUUCGAAGACGAUCAGAUACCGUCGUAGUUCUGACCGUAAACUAUGCCAACUGGCAGCCCGUCGGCGUUGCUCUAUUCGACUCGGCGGGAGGCCUACCUGAAAAGAAAGUCUUCGGGUUCCAGGGGAAGUAUGGUUGCAAAGCUGAAACUUAAAGGAAUUGACGGAAGGGCACCACCAGGAGUGGAGCCUGCGGCUUAAUUUGACUCAACACGGGGAAACUCACCCGGUCCGGACACUGGAAGGAUUGACAGAUUAAAAGCUCUUUCUUGAUUCAGUGGGUGGUGGUGCAUGGCCGUUCUUAGUUGGUGGAGUGAUUUGUCUGGUUAAUUCCGAUAACGAACGAGACUCUAGCCUGCUAACUAGUUCGCCGGCAGCUCUUGUCGCGCGGCGCCGCUUCGGCGGCAAACUUCUUAAAGGGACAGGUGGCGUUUAGCCACACGAAGUAGAGCAAUAACAGGUCUGUGAUGCCCUUAGAUGUCCGGGGCCGCACGCGCGCUACACUGAAAGAAUCAACGUGAUGCCCACCUGCUCC